rnacentral:rRNA from 1 species
AGCGAACGCUAGCGGCGGGCCUAACACAUGCAAGUCGAGCGCAUACCUUCGGGUAUGAGCGGCGGACGGGUGAGUAACGCGUAGGUCAUCUACCCUUUGGUGGGGGAUAACCCAGGGAAACUUGGGCUAAUACCGCACGAGGUCCACGGAUCAAAGCCUUCGGGCGCCAGAGGAUGAGCCUGCGUCGCAUUACCUAGUUGGCGGGGUAACGGCCCACCAAGGGGACGAUGCGUAGCUGGUCUGAGAGGAUGAUCAGCCACACUGGGACUGAGACACGGCCCAGACUCCUACGGGAGGCAGCAGUGGGGAAUAUUGCGCAAUGGGGGAAACCCUGACGCAGCCACGCCGCGUGGGUGAUGAAGGCCUUCGGGUUGUAAGCCCUGUCGGGAGGGACGAAUCCUUGACGGUACCUCCAAAGAAAGCACCGGCUAACUCCGUGCCAGCAGCCGCGGUAAU